rnacentral:lncRNA from 10 species
CGAGAUCUGACGGUUGUAAAAACAAGACUUUCUCUGCACAAGCUCUCUCUUUGCCUGCUGCCAUCCACCUAAGAUGUAACUUGCCUUUCCUCGCCUUCCACCAUGAUUGUGAAGCCUCCACAACCAUGUAGAACUCUUAAAAUGUGAACAUGAUGCAAUGUAGAUAAGGAAACGGAAGUUACAUUUUGAAGUUGGCAGCACACUGAAAGAGAAGGAGACUGGGUCUCUGAUGACAUACAUCAUGGAGCAACCACUCAACCAGCUCUGGACUCCUGAUGAUUCAAAAUAUUCACACUAAAGAGAAGUUGAAUUCUAUGUUGUUUAGGUCGUGGCACUUGAGGAUUCCUUUUUAUUUUUAUAAAAGAAGCCUAAACAAACCCUGACUAAUAAAGUGGUAUUUACAUUAUUA